UACGUAGGGGGCAAGCGUUGUCCGGAAUUAUUGGGCGUAAAGAGCGCGUAGGCGGCCCGGUAAGUCCGCUGUGAAAGUCCAGGGCUCAACCCUGGAAUGCCGGUGGAUACUGUCGGGCUCGAGUCCGGAAGAGGCGAGUGGAAUUCCUGGUGUAGCGGUGAAAUGCGCAGAUAUCAGGAGGAACACCGAUGGCGAAGGCAGCUCGCUGGGACGGUACUGACGCUGAGACGCGAAAGCGUGGGGAGCAAACAGG
rnacentral:rRNA from 1 species